rnacentral:rRNA from 1 species
AGCGAACGCUGGCGGCAGGCCUAACACAUGCAAGUCGAACGAACCUUUCGGGGUUAGUGGCGGACGGGUGAGUAACACGUGGGAACGUGCCUUUAGGUUCGGAAUAACUCAGGGAAACUUUUUCUAAUACCGAAUGUGCCCUUCGGGGGAAAGAUUUAUCGCCUUUAGAGCGGCCCGCGUCUGAUUAGCUAGUUGGUUGAGGUAAUGGCUCACCAAGGCGACGAUCAGUAGCUGGUCUGAGAGGAUGAUCAGCCACAUUGGGACUGAGACACGGCCCAAACUCCUACGGGAGGCAGCAGUGGGGAAUCUUGCGCAAUGGGCGAAAGCCUGACGCAGCCAUGCCGCGUGAAUGAUGAAGGUCUUAGGAUUGUAAAAUUCUUUCACCGGGGACGAUAAUGACGGUACCAGGAGAAGAAGCCCCGGCUAACUUCGUG